rnacentral:rRNA from 1 species
UACGAAGGGGGCUAGCGUUGCUCGGAAUCACUGGGCGUAAAGCGCACGUAGGCGGAUUGUUAAGUCAGGGGUGAAAUCCUGGAGCUCAACUCCAGAACUGCCUUUGAUACUGGCGAUCUCGAGUCCGGGAGAGGUGAGUGGAACUGCGAGUGUAGAGGUGAAAUUCGUAGAUAUUCGGAAGAACACCAGUGGCGAAGGCGGCCUGCUGGGCAGUAGCUGACACUGAGGCGCGACAGCGUGGGGAGCAAACAGG